rnacentral:lncRNA from 1 species
CAUUGGGCCAUUUCAGUUAAUAUCUGCUAAAGGGGGAUGGAUGGUCCUUUCUGAGGGGUUUAAAAUUUAUACAUCUUAGGGGUGAAAUUUUUGGUUUUUUUUUAUCUGACACGUACACUUAUACGCAAAAAUUUCUGAGGGUCUUGCAGCAGUAAAUAAUUAAAAAUAAUUACAUCUUAGGGGUUACAAAAAAUACCUAUUUCAAAUCUUAGGGGUGCUUUGGAAUGAAGACAGUUUCUUAUCAUGCAUUAUCUGGUAUUGUAUUUAAAAUUCUGAUGGGUACAAUCCUUUCAGUAAAAAAAUUCUGAUAGGUCAAUUUUUCCCAUGAAAGCCCAUCCACCCAAUAUGAAGAGAAACUCUACAUCUGAUAGGUCUUAAUU